CCUACGGGAGGCAGCAGUGGGGAAUAUUGCACAAUGGGGGAAACCCUGAUGCAGCGACGCCGCGUGGGUGAAGGAGUAUUUAGGUAUGUAAAGCCCUAUCAGCAGGGAAGAACAAUGACGGUAGCUGACCAAGAAGCAUCGGCUAAAUACGUGCCAGCAGGCGCGGUAAUACGUAGGGUGCACGCGUUAUCCGGAUUUACUGGGUGUAAAGGGAGCGCAGGCGGCGCGUUAAGCCUGGUGUGAAAGCCCGCGGCCCAACCGCGAGACUGCAUUGGAGACUGGCGCGCUGGAGUGCGGGAGGGGUAGGCGGAAUUCCUAGUGUAGCGGUGAAAUGCGUAGAUAUUAGGAGGAACACCAGUGGCGAAGGCGGCCUACUGGACGGUGACUGACGCUGAGGCUCGAAAGCGUGGGGAGCAAACAGGAUUAGAUACCCGUGUAGUC
rnacentral:rRNA from 1 species